rnacentral:lncRNA from 1 species
GUUCUUCUUUGCCGAUCUGAAGAUGAAGAUGAGCAUCAGUCUUGAUCAAACCCUGACCGAAACCAUUGUUGUAUCCUCUUUUUGAGAGAAAUUAUUCCAAUUAAUCGAAGCAAUGAUCCAAUAAUCACAUUCUACAGCAAACAAAAAAGAGAUAGAUCGCAUUCAGUUGCAAAUCCGUCUUCGAUGAUGGCGCUGAUGAAGGAUACUCAUGUUGUUUUAUCUGAACCUGUCAAUCUGACUGAGACAUGAGAAAAGGAUUUGGACAACCCGACCCGGUUCGUUUCGAGCAAAAAAAUUACCUCUAAAAGAUGUAACCAUCAUGCAGUCAUCCCGCAGGGGUUAAACUGGAGGCUCAAGAAAACAAAGACUUAUCAAGGAAUUCUGCGCGCGAAUAUAAAGCGUCAAUGAUGGUGUUUUGAAGACCAAGGCGCCGCCUCCGGCGAUGACGUUAGAUUUACGGGGACGCUCCGGCCGACUUUUGAUAGUGUUGAUUAUUAAUAUGAGGUGAUAAGGCACGGCCUGUGUUGGCAUUCAUUGCCUCAAACUUGCAACAAGAAUUGGAGAAAAUCAACUCUACAAUAGAGGAUUAGUUGUCAUACCUUUUAUCAUCCUUAGAAAUACCUUCGUUGUUGCACUUAGCAAUCACCAGGUUAUGGUGAAGCUGUAAAUAAUUUGGGAAAGUGGAAACCAACCAAGGCCCACACAAAUGACUUCUUUAACCAUUCUUCUUGCAAUUAGGGAUUUCCCAGGGACUGGAUAUGAAUCAAAGAGACAUUAUUACCGCUAGGUAGAUCUAAAGGUAUGAGUUCUUUUAACAUUUAAGUGUAUUACAUUUAUGAUAACAGUUGUGGACAAAUAACUGUUACUAUUACUGUUAAAUAUGUUUAUGAUUGUUAAUUGGAUUUGUAUUUGAUAUAUUUGAUUUUAUGUGUUAGGUUAUUAGUGUGUAAGGUGUGGUUUUAGGUUAUUAGUGGUUGAAUAAUGGUUGUUAUUGAUGUGCUAAAGUUAUAUGAUGUGCUAUAAGGAUUGGAACUGAUGCAAGACACACGUGAACGAUAAAUGAAAGUAAGACUGUUUCUUUUGAAACUUCAAUAUUUUUAGAAUUAUUUUAAUAAUGACAUGUUUGAAAUUCUUUUUUUUUAAGAUUGUUU